rnacentral:pre_miRNA from 1 species
CUGACAGAAGAGAGUGAGCACACAUGGUGACUUUCUUGCAUGCUGAAUAAACGAGAGGAAUUCAUGCUUGAAGCUAUGUGUGCUCACUUCUCUCUCUGUCAG